rnacentral:rRNA from 1 species
AUUGAACGCUGGCGGCAGGCCUAACACAUGCAAGUCGAACGGUAACAGGAAUCAGCUUGCUGAUUCGCUGACGAGUGGCGGACGGGUGAGUAAUGUCUGGGAAACUGCCUGAUGGAGGGGGAUAACUACUGGAAACGGUAGCUAAUACCGCAUAACGUCGCAAGACCAAAGUGGGGGACCUUCGGGCCUCACACCAUCGGAUGUGCCCAGAUGGGAUUAGCUAGUAGGUGGGGUAAUGGCUCACCUAGGCGACGAUCCCUAGCUGGUCUGAGGGGAUGACCAGCCACACUGGAACUGAGACACGGUCCAGACUCCUACGGGAGGCAGCAGUGGGGAAUAUUGCACAAUGGGCGCAAGCCUGAUGCAGCCAUGCCGCGUGUAUGAAGAAGGCCUUCGGGUUGUAAAGCACUUUCAGCGGGGAGGAAGGCGGUGAAGUUAAUAGCUUCACCGAUUGACGUUACCCGCAGAAGAAGCACCGGCUAACUCCGUGCCAGCCGCCGCAGUAAAAC